rnacentral:tRNA from 1 species
GCAUCGGUGCCCGAGCGGACGAAGGGAGCGGCCUGCAAAGCCGUCUAUCGCGGGUUCGAAUCCCGCCCGAUGCU